AGUGAACGCUGGCGGUAGGCCUAACACAUGCAAGUCGAACGGCAGCACAGUAAGAGCUUGCUCUUACGGGUGGCGAGUGGCGGACGGGUGAGGAAUACAUCGGCAUCUACUUUUUCGUGGGGGAUAACGUAGGGAAACUUACGAUAAUACCGCAUACGACCUACGGGUGAAAGCAGGGGAUCUUCGGACCUUGCGCGACUGAAUGAGCCGAUGUCGGAUUAGCUAGUUGGCGGGGUAAAGGCCCACCAAGGCGACGAUCCGUAGCUGGUCUGAGAGGAUGAUCAGCCACACUGGAACUGAGACACGGUCCAGACUCCUACGGGAGGCAGCAGUGGGGAAUAUUGGACAAUGGGCGCAAGCCUGAUCCAGCCAUACCGCGUGGGUGAAGAAGGCCUUCGGGUUGUAAAGCCCUUUUGUUGGGAAAGAAAAGCAGCAUGUUAAUACCCCGCUGUUCUGACGGUACCCAAAGAAUAAGCACCGGCUAACUUCGUG
rnacentral:rRNA from 1 species